GCAUAUCAAUAAGCGGAGGAAAAGAAACCAACAGGGAUUGCCUUAGUAACGGCGAGUGAAGCGGCAAUAGCUCAAAUUUGAAAUCUGGCGCUUGCGUCCGAGUUGUAAUUUGCAGAGGAUGAUUUUGGUUAGGUACCUUCCGAGUUCCUUGGAACAGGACGCCUUAGAGGGUGAGAGCCCCGUACGGUUGGAUGCCGAGCCUUUGUAAAUCUCCUUCGACGAGUCGAGUAGUUUGGGAAUGCUGCUCUAAAUGGGAGGUAAAUUUCUUCUAAAGCUAAAUACCGGCCAGAGACCGAUAGCGCACAAGUAGAGUGAUCGAAAGAUGAAAAGCACUUUGAAAAGAGGGUUAAAUAGCACGUGAAAUUGUUGAAAGGGAAGGAUUUAUGACCAGACUUUUUCUAGGAGGAUCAUCCGGUGUUCUCACCGGUGCACUUCUUCUAGUCUAGGCCAGCAUCGACUUUCGGCGGUGGAUAAAAGCUUUGGGAAUGUGACUCCUUUCGGGGAGUGUUAUAGCCUAUUGUAUAAUACACUGCUGGGGGUCGAGGUACGCGCUUCUGCAAGGAUGCUGGCGUAAUGGUUAUCAAUCACCCGUCUUGAAACACGGACC
rnacentral:rRNA from 1 species